rnacentral:misc_RNA from 1 species
GACCCACACCAGGGUCCCACUCACGUGCCACUUCUCUUUCUCCUCCAUUACUUAACGGGUCCGUCAGAGUCCGUCACGGCCCAUCUCCCCACCUCACGACUCUAUCCUUCCGUUAAGCCACUACCUUUCCCUUCGCAUCAACGUACCUCCCGUCUUCCCUAACGUCGUUGUUUUACAACCCUAACUGUAACGUCCUUUCCAUGGCUUCCUGUGACGACGAUUUCUCUCUCAUCGGUGACGAUAACCACCACCAUACCAACCCUAACGACCAUCACCACCACAUCCUCCACCAGCCCUACGCGCCUCACAGAUUCCCAGUUAAAUCAGCUCCGAUCCACGCUCCACCUCAACCGAUAUUACCUUCUCCCGUCGCUGGAUCUGCCAUCGGCGCCAAGAAUCUUGGAGGCGGCGUAGAAGAAGCAGAAGAAGCAGAAGAAGACACAGAGACCGAUUCAGGUUUCCCUGAGGUGAAUCCUUUCAGUGACAAUUCANGAUCCUUUCAACAAUGAGACAAAUGUUCGGGCGGACAAGAGAAGAGAAGGAGAAGAUCACAGCGA